UUCGCAAUGCCCGAAAGGGUGACGACGCGACGCCGCGUGCGGGAGGAAGGCCUUCGGGUUGUAAACCGCUGUCGGGAGUUAAGAAAUGUAAGGAUGUUAAUAGCAUCUUUGCUUGACUAAGGCUCCUGAGGAAGCCACGGCUAACUCUGUGCCAGCAGCCGCGGUAAUACAGAGGCGGCAAGCGUUGUUCGGAAUUAUUGGGCGUAAAGAGCACGUAGGCGGCUAUGUAAGUCGGUUGUGAAAGCCUUCCGCUCAACAGAAGAACAGCAUCCGAUACUACAUGGCUUGAGUGCGGGAGGGGAGAGUGGAACUUCUGGUGGAGCGGUGAAAUGCGUAGAUAUCAGAAGGAACGCCGGCGGCGAAAGCGGCUCUCUGGCCCAUAACUGACGCUGAGUGUGCGAAAGCUAGGGGAGCAAACGGGAUUAGAUACCCCGGUAGUCCUAGCCGUAAAC
rnacentral:rRNA from 1 species